rnacentral:rRNA from 1 species
CCUACGGGAGGCAGCAGUGGGGAAUAUUGGACAAUGGGCGCAAGCCUGAUCCAGCCACGCCGCGUGUGUGAUGAAGGCCUUCGGGUCGUAAAGCACUGUGGAGGGAGAAGAACCAGCAGCGGGAAUAACACCCCGUUGCUCUGACGGUAUCCCUUUAGCAAGCACCGGCUAACUCCGUGCCAGCAGCCGCGGUAAUACGGAGGGUGCAAACGUUGCUCGGAAUCAUUGGGCGUAAAGCGCGUGUAGGCGGUUGGUUAAGUCGAGUGUGAAAGCCCUGAGCUCAACUCAGGAAUUGCGCUCGAAACUGGCCAACUCGAGUACGGGAGAGGGUAGCGGAAUUCCCGGUGUAGAGGUGAAAUUCGUAGAUAUCUGGAGGAAGGCCGGUGGCGAAGGCGGCCAUCUGGCGCUGAACUGACGCUGAGGCGCGAAAGCGUGGGGAGCAAACAGGAUUAGAUACCCUGGUAGUCCACGCCGUAAACGAUGGGCACUAGGUGUAGGAGGUAUUGACCCCUUCUGUGCCGAAGUUAACGCAUUAAGUGCCCCGCCUGGGGAGUACGGCCGCAAGGCUAAAACUCAAAGGAAUUGACGG